rnacentral:rRNA from 1 species
AUUGAACGCUGGCGGCAGGCCUAACACAUGCAAGUCGAACGAGUGGCGGACGGGUGAGUAAUGUCUGGGAACCUGCCUGAUGGAGGGGGAUAACUACUGGAAACGGUAGCUAAUACCGCAUACCAUCGGAUGUGCCCAGCUGGGAUUAGCUAGUAGGUGGGGUAAAGGCUCACCUAGGGGACGAUCCCUAGCUGGUCUGAGAGGAUGACCAGCCACACUGUAACUGAGACACGGGCCAGACUCCUCCGGGAGGCAGCAGUGGGGAAUCUUGCACAAUGGGCGCAAGCCUGAUGCAGCCAUGCCGCGUGUAUGAAGAAGGCCUUCGGGUUGUAAAGUGCUUUCAGCGGGGAGGCGUUACUCGCAGAAGAAGCACCGGCUAACUCCGUGCCAGCAGCCGCGGUAAUAC